AUGCGUGCCGACAAGGAGGCGUGGCCGCCAUGUUUAAACUGGGCAAAUCAACAGAGCCGGCGCGUUAUUUGCCGCCGCAGUUCAAUGAGUUGCUCAUAGAUCACGGUCAAGAAAAUGCCUGAAAGUUGCGCCUGUUGGCGAUGCUACAAUCGGAGGAAGAAGGGAGAGAACAUUUCCUUCCAUAAGUAAGUAUUCUGCUUUAUAUGUGUGCCAAG